CAGUCGCCGCGUGAAUACAGAGGGUGCGAGCGUUAAUCGGAUUUACUGGGCGUAAAGCGUGCGUAGGCGGCUUCUUAAGUCGGAUGUGAAAUCCCUGAGCUUAACUUAGGAAUUGCAUUCGAUACUGGGAAGCUAGAGUAUGGGAGAGGAUGGUAGAAUUCCAGGUGUAGCGGUGAAAUGCGUAGAGAUCUGGAGGAAUACCGAUGGCGAAGGCAGCCAUCUGGCCUAAUACUGACGCUGAGGUACGAAAGCAUGGGGAGCAAACAGGAUUAGAUACCCCGGUAGUCCCUGUCUCUUAUAC
rnacentral:rRNA from 1 species